UGAAUGUCAUGGCUUGGAUUCAGAGGUUAGAUAUGGAUAUACUGAGUCAACGGAAUUGGAUUCAGAGGUUUUGUAUCUAAAGAAAAAUGUUUUGCUAUGUUUUGUAUAUAAAUUUUAGUUUAAAUUGAAUAUAAAUGCUAGGUUUUGUUUGUGGUUAGAAAUUUAUUGGUUAAAGAACUUUAUACCCGGUUAGAUAGAGCAGCUCCAAUACUAAUGCAUGAUUUAAAAUGUUGACAAUAUGAUAACUCUUAUAUUUUUUGUCACUUUAGUGUUCAUUAAAGAACAUAAAACAAGGGGGAAAAUGUUGACAAUAUGAGGACUCUAAUAUAGAAUUUUUUUUGUUUUUUUUUUUUUUGGUAACAGGCUCAAAAUUGAAAUCUUGUUAGAAGUUUAGACAAAAAAAUAUGGAUGAACUCAUGCAUGAAGCUAAAUUGUACAGGACUAGUUGGCACUUGUUACAUUUUUUUGAAGAAUUAUAUAUUUUUGGAUAGAUAUGUAUGGAAAAUAUAUGGGUAGACUAGUAGUUAUAUUUUUGGAUGGUGUGUAUGGAAAAUAUUUGGGUAGAUUAUUAGUUAUAUUUUUUGAUAGAUGCGCAUGGAUAAAAAUUUAAAACAUAAAAACAAGUACUUGUCAUUUUUAAAUUUUUAUGCUAGAUGGGUGUGACUUGGAUGAUCAUAUAGAUUACAAGUGAAUUUUUAAUUGGAGGAAUAUGUAGUUUGGAAUUACUUGUGGAUGAAAACUUAUAAAAGUUGAUGGUUUUAAUUAAAUAAGUUCAGGAUUGGAUGAUUUAUGUAUUU